rnacentral:rRNA from 1 species
AUACGGAGGAUGCGAGCGUUAUCCGGAUUUAUUGGGUUUAAAGGGAGCGUAGGCGGGAGCUUAAGUCAGCGGUUAAAUGGUGCGGCUCAACCGUGCCCUGCCGUUGAUACUGGGUGGCUUGAUUGCGGUCGAGGUUGGCGGAAUUCGUUGUGUAGCGGGGAAAUGCAUAGAUAUGACGAAGAACACCGAUUGCGUAGGCAGCUGACCAGAUCGCAAAUGACGCUCAUGCACGAAAGUGCGGGGAUCGAACAGGAUUAGAUACCCUGGUAGUCCGCACAGUAAACGAUGAAUACUUGUUUUCGGCGAUAUAAUGUCGGAGGCAAAGCGAAAGCGAUAAGUAUUCCACCUGGGGAGUACGCCGGCAACGGUGAAACUCAAAUGAAUUGACGGGG